rnacentral:rRNA from 1 species
UACGUAGGGGGCAAGCGUUGUCCGGAUUUAUUGGGCGUAAAGGGCGUGUAGGCGGCCAUACAGGUCCGUUGUGAAAACUGGAGGCUUAACCUCCAGACGUCGAUGGAAACCGUAUGGCUAGAGUCCGGAAGAGGAGAGUGGAAUUCCUGGUGUAGCGGUGAAAUGCGCAGAUAUCAGGAAGAACACCCGUGGCGAAGGCGGCUCUCUGGGACGGUACUGACGCUGAGACGCGGAAGCGUGGGGAGCGAACAGG